AACGAACGCUGGCGGCAUGCCUAACACAUGCAAGUCGAACGAGACCUUCGGGUCUAGUGACGCACGGGUGCGUAACGCGUGGGAAUCUGCCCUUUGCUUCGGAAUAACAGUUAGAAAUGACUGCUAAUACCGGAUGAUGUCUUCGGACCAAAGAUUUAUCGGCAAAGGAUGAGCCCGCGUAGGAUUAGGUAGUUGGUGGGGUAAAGGCCUACCAAGCCGACGAUCCUUAGCUGGUCUGAGAGGAUGAUCAGCCACACUGGGACUGAGACACGGCCCAGACUCCUACGGGAGGCAGCAGUGAGGAAUAUUGGACAAUGGGCGCAAGCCUGAUCCAGCCAUGCCGCGUGCAGGAUGACGGUCCUAUGGAUUGUAAACUGCUUUAUACAGGAAGAAACAACUCCGACGUGUCGGAGCUUGACGGUACUGUAAGAAUAAGGAUCGGCUAACUCCGUGCCAGCAGCCGCGGUAAAGUGACUACUG
rnacentral:rRNA from 1 species